CGGAGCCUCUCACCUUUGAGCUGCCCGUGCAACUCCAGCGCAGGCUGGCAGUUAUUGCUGUUGGGUAUCUGUGGACUUGCUGAAGCUGGCGCUUGCCAUCCAGUUCCUAAUGAACAGGCAUCCACGUCCCUAUAGCUACCAAGACAUUUUAAAAUCAGCAGGUCCAGAUAACUUGCAUCCAAAAGUUCUAAAAGAGCUGGAUGAGGAGCUGACGGGACCGUUAAUGUUUAUUCUUAAUGCGUCUUAAAGCACCAGGGAAGAUCCUGAAUUCCAACACAGUGGAGCAGCUGAUACGCGACUCCAAUUAAGAAAGAGUUAAAGGAAGGGCUUUGCCUAUCUCAGUCUUCGGCUGGAAAACAAAAUGCCAGCAACCCUCCAGCCCCAACUCCUCCUACUGCAGGGAGAAGGUCUAACUAAUCAAAAUAGGUCAUGAAGCCUCAUGAGAUAUUUAAUCUGGAUAUGGAUCGCCAGGUAGAAGAACCUGCUGCCAUUUCAAACAGAGUCCCUCAAGUCAGAUUGUCACGUGAUGCUCCUUAGCUCCCUCCAGCUGUACACCAUCCACCCAAACUCGGAGACACACGAGCAAUGCAGCCUGGGUAUGUCCACUCUGAGUGUACUGAGGAAGCAGCUAUAAAAAUAAGAUACAGAAGCCAGCCUUGCAGGAGCAGCUUCAGCCUAAACAGGGUUUUCAUAGGCGAGUUUCUCACAAGUGCUUUUCCCUGUGGAAUGGAACAGAAACCAAUAGGGAUUUUUUUGAGUUCUACAGGCACUAAGGGCCAGAUUUUUAAAGGAAUUCAGGCACCUAACUCCCUUAGGCAUUGCCUGCUAGAUGGGUCAAACUGUAUCUAGUAUGUUGCAAAGAAGCAGGAGUUAGAGCUAGAUUUGUCAAGGUAUUUAGGCAUAUUUUCAUUUACUUCCCUUUAUAUUUACUAUAAAAAAGUAAAAAAAGUAUCAGUGACAGGCCUCUAUAAUUUGUGCAAGUGUUUCAAGAAUGCUUGACAUUGAAGGGUAAGGGGUGUGCAAGG